AUGGAUCUGUAGGAGUAGGUGCGGGCUGAGCAACAACAUGAUUACUUGAAUUGCUGUUUGCGCUGCUGUGUUUUUCUGAGCAGCUGCUGGCUUGGAACAUCUCCUCCCCACUCUUCUCUCCGCUGUGACUCACACUGCCAGCUCCUUUUGCAGACGGUUGCCUGCAUAUCAUUGAGUCCGUUUCAGCCUUUUGCACCUCAGCGGCUAAGGGGUUCCCGUCAGUUUGGUCGAAAGGAGUGUUUUCUCGCACGCUUCCAAAACAGAAUGAACCAAACCAGACUUCCAGUUCCCGACCACAGAUGGCUAAUUAGGAUCCUGGAAUGAGGAAAUCUGUUCAGUGGCCUUCUGCUCUUGGAAUGGGCCCUCUGUGAUGCAGCUGAUACCGAGACCGACAUACCUUUCAUUGAUUCAGCCUUUCCCUCACUCUCUACUGCGCACAUGUAACCAAAUUUAAACAAGCUGGACUUGCAGCUUCCCCUCCAGUCCAGAUUUUGUAUCAUUACUUAUUCUUCACUAUGGGGCAAGAGUGUACAUUGUACUGCACAAAGACAUGAGUCACAGUCCCAUGAGUCCCUAAGGAACUCUCAGUCUGAUUCCAGCCCCGAUGAUACCGUAUGCGCUGAGCAAUGGUGCAAACAAUAACAGGUGGCAGUGUCUAGGAAAGACCAUCGCAGAAAGGCAUUACACUCGAGGAAGAUGCCUUGGCACUAUUCCUCCUUCCUGGAACAACAUCCCAUGGUCGAGGAAACCGAAGCCCUUCAUUCAACACCAUCUGUGCAGCCAUGCUUUCAUCUGGGUCAGACCUGGCAGUAUCAUUAGUGCCCGCACGGAUGAGCAGCAUGGGGUAGUGGUCAGAGGGACAGAUGAGCCUCAGCAACCUUUCAGCGAUGUCUCAGAUUCAGACUCCAAACAGGCAGCACACACUCCGGCCUAGAUACUGGAACUAGGGGUGCAGAGGGUGCUGGCUUGAAGUGGUUUCCAUCACAUAUAGGGUUUACAGUUUGGUUCAAUGGCUCUCAGCACCCCCACUAUACACAUUGUUCCAGCACCUCUGCCCCCAGGAACAUCAGGUCAGGUUGGCAGAUGGAUGCCUCCAUCCCUCUUAGAAGGGAGUCCCCAACCACCAACACUCUGCAUCUCUUGGGUGUGGUUGCCGUGACCCUCCCAGCCUUGGGGACCAGGGGGUCUCUUCUUCCUCAGCCUUGGGAAACUGCUUCUCUGCUCCUGUUGACAGAACAGCAAACUGGUUCUUGAUAUUUAUUGCAUUGGGACAAAUUCUUUGCAAGUUUAAAUUGGCACAGCUCCAUUGACUUUUACUUUGCUAAUGCUUAGCUCGGUGUUCUUCACUAUUUUUGAAGUGGGGGCGACUUUGGCAAAAAACCUUCAAUGUGACACAGACAGUGGAACACAUACCCAACACAGACGGUUGAACACUCCGAGUUCUUUGUUGGUUGAUAUGGUGAAUGCGGUAAGGAUUCAAGAACCUGGGAAGAUGGUAUAAGUGUGUGGAUUCACUACCCAGUGACAGAUUUAGUAUCAACAGCCACUAAUACAGAGAUUGUGUCGACUACAGAGGCUGCUGUGAGGGCCGUAGCCUUUACAGCUACUCAACAAACCCAACCCCUACUGGAAUGGAGAAAAGUAGAAGACAGGGUCAAAGAGGAAGUCAUGGCUCAACUCAAUAUCCUACAGGCCCAAAGGGUUGAGGACUUGCAAGAACUCGAAGAGAGGUGCUCCUCGAGACAGGAUGUGAGCUCAAGCUAUACAGUGGGAACAGGACUUGGCCAGAAUUGAAAAAAAGAGAUUUGGGAACAAGUGUUUGAUGCUGCAGAAGGAGCAGAAUAAGCUCCAGAACUUGCUUCAGGUCCAACUUGCUUCAGGUCCAGCAUGGAUAAAGGUAAAGAACUGGAGAGCCUGAAGGAGUCAUCCUCAUGUAACAUUGACAGACCCCAGUUGUCGUUGGGCAGGACUGAACCUGGGACCUUUGGAGCUUAAUGCAUGAGCUAAAAGUCAUGGGGCUCUUAGCUAAGGCUGUAGCAGACUCAUUAAUCUCUGAGUGGACUCGCUGCCACUAGAGGGGACAGAACACCACACCCAGGAGGUGUGUGGUUACACUUAGAAAAGAGUUGUAGUGGUUGCACCCUGAGACAGUUGAAAUUAAGAGCUGCCAUGCCCUAGCUCAGAUGAUACAGGAACACAACAAGGCUGCAAGGCAAGGCCACAGCCAGACCCCAGCUAAAAAGAGCUCUCCCCAGGAGGAAAAAGGAAGAUUAAAAAUGAUCCUAACAUACUGAAUGACAUCCAGUACUUGGUCCUGCUAGUGAAGGCAGGGGGCUGGACUCAAUGACCUUUCAAGGUCCCUUCCAGUUCUAGGAGAUAGGAUAUCUCCAUUAAUUUAUUUAUUUAUUAUUUAUUAUCCAUGCAACAGUGUAGUUACAGAAAGAACAACAGCAGGUGCUACUAAGCCAGAUACUAAAAGCUGUGGGCAAAACAGUACAGAAGUCCUGCUGAAUCUGUAUAAAGAUAUCCUUAACCAGCCACUGGCAAAGUGACCCAGCACCUGAGAAGAAGACAAGGCUCGUUUAGAAGCCCAAGCAAAGGACUGAAUUUAAAGGCCCUAGAGCUGCAACUGAAGACCCCGACAAGGGCAGACAGUUUGUUGGGCUUUUUGCUAUCCCAGAAGGGGUUCCUUUUUGACUGUGUGACCUGACCAGAGAGCCAAGCCACUGAAGACCCACCAAGAAAGGUCAGCAACAUACAGGGGGCUCCAGUCGCAGAAAAAGGCCUGCAGUACUGCAUGCAGCAACAGGAGGCACUCGAGGAGUGUCCCCUGUUACAAUUUCCCAUAACCCAUCUUGGAGCUAUGUCAUUAACACAAUACUUUUGCAUUCAUACAGGUCCUUCCAGCCAAGGGUCUCAAAAUGCUUCAUACACAUUAAUUAAUUAAGCCUCACAACACUUCUUUGACAUGUUAUUAGCACCAUUUAAUAGGUGUGGAAACUGGGGCCCAGAGAGGUGAAAGGCCAACGUUUUCAAACCUUGGCAUCUGCUGCUGGGCACCUAAAUCCAGAUUGUAAUACUGCAUGCAGAUAACGUAAACUGAACAUGCAUUGAAAGGGGCCGAUUUCCCCCCUCAUUUCAUGAGUUACAAAUAUUUGAACUUGCAGAGUAAGUCCUGGCAUCACGAGUUACUACCCUGGAGGAAAUUCCAGUAGAAAAUGUUCAGUGGGUUCCUACUAGUUCCAGUUGUUAACUAGGGAUCCAGUUCAGCAAAGCACCCCUAUUCAGUAAAGCACUUGCUUAAAGUUCAGUGUAUGCUUAAAUGCUUUGCUGAGCUGGGGUAUAGGUUUGGAACAGAGCAAUCAGUCUUUUAGGUCCUGGGGCAGUUGAUCCUCCAGUAAGAACUACCAGAGGCCAGCAGAAUCUGCCAGUGACUACUUGAAUGAUUUUAAUGGAGUCUAUUGAAGUUUCCAGUAGGGUAAUCUGGGGAACAUGCUGCUUAUUUGUUCUUUUGUUUUACUAAUGUGAAGUGCAGGUGUAAUUUUAUUUGCAACAUCCUGGUAUCUGCCCCGGAGGAUAAUCCAAUGUGUGCAUGAAUAUGAUGAUUUGCUACAAAUGUUGUUUUUUUUAAUGGUAACUUGUCCAAAGGUCUCAAGUCUAGCUAUAAAGUAUGGAAAUAUGGACGAUAACCUGGUGGCCUUGUGUAGUUAACCAUGUGCGCUCUUUCCAAAGUGAAGAAUUAGGCAGGGAGCUGCUGACUGAAUGGAGCAAGAGAAGGGAUUUAGCAAGUCAUUGAUUAUUUUAUUCAGUUCAGUGCUGUUUACAAGCAAACAAAAUCAGUUGGAUUCACUGGUCAAUUAUCCCAGGAUUGUUCGGUGCAGGAAAGCAGCUUUGUCUAGGGGACAGUCAUUUAAUGACUCUUGUUGCAGGUCUGGAUUUUGGUUGUCUCAGGCUGUCAGACAAUAGAAUUUUUCCAUCUCAGUGACUAAAACUUGUGACUCGGUGUAUUAUAAAGGAGGUGUGGUUACCACUUACCAGGCUAUCCAUGUCCUUUCAAGGAAAAAGAAGAAAAGCAACAACUCAACUCUUGGACAACAGCAACGGGAAUUUUAUAGGUGUUUGUUAUGUAAAAAAACUAACAAAAAGCCCAGUGAUGUUGGUUAAUAAACCCUUUGGCACCAAGCUUUGCCAAUGCUUAAAACUUUACUGCAAAAUCACCAAUCUGCCAAACAGUCUCCAAGCUGCAAAAUACUUAUCGGGUGGUAAUUGUAUGAUAUGUUCAUGCCACCUACAGGAAAUAACACAUCCCUUCAAGAGAUUUUGCUUGUAAAGCUUUGCAUUAAUCCUUUUUUUUUUUUUAAUUGCUGUUGUGCAAGAUUGAUGAUCUAGUAUCAUUGGACACCCCGCUCAUAAAAAAAAAUCCUAUUCAAGUUAUCGUUAAUUAACCAAAACAUUUAAUGCAUCUAAUUCACUAAUGGCAGAUUUUAUAAAGUAUUUAAUAGUCACUUUCCCCUCUCUGUGUCCCAGUUACCUCAACUGUGAAAUAGGGAUAAUGAUAAUGACUUCCUUUGUAACGCGCUUUGAGAUCUAUUGAUGAAAAGCUCUAUGUAAUAUUGUUAUUAUACCUUACAACUAUAUCACAUUUUUCAUCCAAAGUGCUCUGAGAAUUAUCACUCCACUGAAAUCCAUCCAACUCUGGGGAGCAGCAGUUUAACAUACACACUACACAACAGUUUAGGACAGGAAAUGAAGAGUACCCCUGUGUCCAUCUGAAACUGAAGAAAGUAUUCUGACGUAGGCAGAAUGUAGCUACACUGUAUGGAAUUUAGCUGGGGGGUGGGGAGAGGUUAAUAGCCCUAAUUUUAUAAAAACUUCCAUGAGAACUUUCAUGAUCACAAGUGAUCAGAACCUCAGUUUUACAUCUCUUCAAAAAGCCAGCACCUCCAGUAGCACGAUGCUCCUAAUAACACAGUGAGGAAUUUGGUUCUGUACUAACUCAGAGGGGAAAGGUUUCAGAGUGGUAGCCGUGUUAGUGUGUAUCAGCAAAAAGAACAGGAAUACUUGUGGCACCUUAGAGACUAACAAA